rnacentral:lncRNA from 1 species
UUAGGGUUUCUUCAUUUUUAUAUUUUCAUGUAUUCCCCCUUAUUAGCAAAUUAAUUAUAUUAUACUAUUUUUCCCCUUAAUAGAAAAUUAAUUGUUAGUGAUGGAUAUAUUGAGGAGGCAACAUUAGGAAUUUCAUUUAUUUACUCUACUAUUGGAAUUGCAAAUUUGAAAAAAGGGUUUUACAUUCAAUGGGUCUAUUGAGAGUAAUCUUCAUUCAAUGGGUCUCAUGUUUUCAAGUUCAGUCUGGUCGUCGAGGCUGGAAUAUUGCAUUGCUUUAAGCUAUAGUCACGAGUGUUGGUUUUUGCAUUUCGCCGAAACGUUUUAUGCUGAAUUAAUAUGCAAUAUUGUUAUUUAGUGAUACAGCAGUUUGCUACAUUAAGUAUAUUAUACUUUAAGUAUAUUAUAAACUUCCUACUGGAGUUUUGAGUUCUAAUUUGAUUAUAAUGCAGGUAUGAUUUUAAUAAAAUCCAACUUCUUUUCAUAAGUUUGCCUGUUUGCCCUUCUCUCGACAAGUUGGGAAAUUUCUUAUAAUGGAUACAAACUUGAAGAGUUUGUACCCCAGAAAACAUCUGCUUAUAUAAGCCAAAAUGAUCAACAUAUCCCUGAGAUGACUGUUAGGGAAACACUUGAUUUUUUAGCCCGCUUUCAGGGUAUUGGAAGUCGAGCAGGUAAUCCUGCUUUGAUCACAGAGAAACUACAAUUAGUUCGAAAUCUUUAUUAGUAUAUUCUAGUACUGGUAAUUGAUGUAAUUUUUUUUUUUACUUUCAUAUAGACGAUGAUUGAGGUCAGCAGAAGGGAGAAAGAGGCAGGAGUUGUUCCAGAUCCAGAUAUAGAUACUUACAUGAAGGUAUUAUCAUCUCUACUGUUCUUCCUGUCCAAACUUCUGGAGUUAUGAGACUGUCUCACAAUGGAUAGAAUCUGUCGUCCUUUAAACAAUUCAAAUUAAUCUAGUAUGAAUUACUGCUAUGUAGCCUUUGUUUCCUUACAGAUAUCCUGAAGGGACUUCUACUGUGGUUGUUUCAAGUAGAAUUAUUACUUGAUUGUUGGAAAUAUCUCAAGAAAUUAUUGUUGGGAACAUACAACUUGCAGCUGAAACAUAUGUGAAAUUAUUUCUUGCAGAUAACAAUUCUAUCAAACACAGGCCAACCAAAACUAAGAAAUUAACAUCCCAUGUGCUUCUUUGAAUGACCAUGAUACAGACUUGAAGAAAGAAUAAUCUUAAAACUAUGACUACUUGGCCAUCAGUAAAAUUACAUAAUACUUCUUCUGCCUUUAAAAUGAUUCAUCAAUAGUUAUGAUUUAUUAGUCAUCCUGGUCAGGAAAUGCGGUAAAGCUUAAUCUGAUACCCAAAUUGGAAGGCAACCUUAACUUUGAAGUAAUGCUUCAUGUACCAGAGAUGUAGAUACUCAAUGCUAAUGCUAGAUACCUGUAUCUAGCACACUGUUGACUUCAAUAGGUCUCUGCAGUGUUUUGCUAAUGCAAUAGCUUUGUCCAUCUGCUUGAAUGUGUUGCUUAAGUAUGAUUUCUUGAAUAAGUAAUGAUGGCCUUGCCAUGUGAGACAUGUCGCCUUAAGUUCUUAGGGAAGUUAGAAGUCAUUCUUAUAAAAGAAAGAAAGGGAAAAUAAACAUCCAUCUCCAGUGCAAGUUGAUUUCCUUAUCACGAGGUUAUUCACAGGAUCGUUGAUAAGCUCUGACUUAUCACCAAAAAAAAAAGAUUGUUGAUAAUCUCUAUGCUGUUGGGAAGCUCAAGUCUAAAGAUGCUUUAACUCUGCUAACAUUUUCAGGCAAUUUCUGUUGAAAGACAAAAGGAAACUCUUUAGAUUGAUUACAUUUUAAGAGUAAUUCUUUUCAGCUGAUCUCGAGCUUAAUUUCUUAUUUUGACAAUGCAUUAUCCAUUAAUAACCUUUGAGUUCUAGUUGUGAGUUCCAGUCUGUAAGAUAUUGCCAUUUUUCACAUGUCUUUGCAGAUUUUUGGUCUUGACAUAUGCGCUGACGUACUGGUUGGAGACGCAAUGAAAAGAGGCAUCUCUGGUGGCCAGAAGAAAAGAUUGACCACAUGUAGUUUGAAUUCAGUAAUGGCAGUUUUAGUAUUACUAAUGCGAUUUCCCAAUCAAAAAAAUGUCAUUUUUAACUUCAAUUAGUAGUAUAAAUGGUGAGAAAUAAAUAUAUUUCGUGUUGACUUUGUCCAUUUCUCCCACACAGCUGAAGCAUUCCAAAUACAUGCAUAUUUAACUUUGCAAUUGUGCCUACCGGCUUUUGUUUCUGCACUACUACCUGUUAUAUUUAAUCUUAAUGAUUUUUAUAACACUGUUAUAUUUAAUCUUAAUGAUAUUUAAUCAAUUUAGGUUUAUUUAAAAGCUACUAACAGAGAUGAUGUGCUAUAUUGUGUUGCUUUUGUUGAGACGCUGUCUCUAUGACAGUGAUGAUGAGGUCAGUUGUAUUUUUAUUUGAAGUCUAUAGUUUAUGAUUCUUAUACACUGUAGUGAUAUUUUAUACUUGUUUAGAAGUUGGUGCAUAAAUUGGAUCUUCUGGUUUGUUUUCCUUGUUCAUUAUGGUUUAUUCUUUUCACAUUCACAAGCUUAUCAUUUGAUUCAAAAUUUCAAGGAUUAUUGAAUAAAGAUUGAAACUUUAAGCAUUUUUCUUGGGUAGUUGGAUGUAUAGGCUCAUGUUAUCUUCUGACUAUUGCAGUGAAUUUUGGUGUAUUGUGAAAUUAUUGAAAAAAAGUCUUACUGACAUGCAGAAGGUAUUACUCAGCUAGGUACCUUAAGGUCCACUGUAUUAGAGGCUGAAUACUAUGUAGUUUGGACAUUGUCAAUAUGAGCACUACUCUAGUAUGUAAAUGUACUUCAUGAUAUUCAUACCGAAUAAUCCCUGGUCAUAAUCAUACCAAGUCCAUCUAUGCACGUAAGCCAAAGAUGAUUUUCAUCACAAUAUAAGCAUGAGGAUGAUGACAAUGACAUAAUAAUUCAAUAAAACAAGUUCAAUGAUAAAAUUUAAAGAUUUAUAAUUUAAUUUAUCCAGGAAUCAAUAAUGUCCAAAUUGUCAACAUGAUACUGCUUUGUGAGGUAAAAUUCAAGAAUGCUCAGAAGAAUAUUUCUAUGAAAAGAUACUGGAUGAAGCGUAAAUAUCCAAGAUAUUCUACUAAUUUCAUGGAGUAUAGAAGUCAAAACUUUAACCAACUGAGUAUAAUAGAAUAUAUGAAACUGCAAAUGAAUUUUCGCCCGCCAUGCGGUAAUCCACGUAGACAGAUCAUUUCCACAAUUUAAUAAGGAAUGAAUACGAAGGAUCAUUCACCAUGCAUGCGGUAAUCCACAUAGACAGGUUAUUCUAACAGAAUAAUAAAGAAUGGAAUAACAGAAGAAUUCACCAUGCAUUCGAUAGACCGCACAGACAUGUUAUUUUAAUAGAAUAAUAAAGAAUGAAACCAGAUCAUGCGUAAUCCGCACAGACAGGAUAUUCCAACAGAAUAAUAAAGAAUGAAAUAACAACAAUAUUCACCAGGCAUGCGAUAGACUGCACAGACAGGUUAUUCCAACAGAAUAAUAAAGAAUGAAAUAACAACAAAAUUCACCAGGCAUGCGAUAGACCGCACAGACAGGUUAUUCCAACAGAAUAAUAAAGAAUGGAAUAACAGAAGAAUUUUACCAUGUAUGCGGUACUUCGCAUAGACAUGUUAUUCCAACAUAAUAAUAAAGAAUGGAAUAACAACCCUUACGAGUAUUGAAAGAAAAUAACUCUCUUCAUGAAUACGAAAGAAUAAUACCCCUUACCUUAGAAGAAAACUGGAUACUGGAAUAGUGAGGUAGCAGACUUCUCUUCUUCUUUCUCUCUAUAAUUUCUCUCUAUAAUAAUUGCUCUAUAGCUUUAGUGAAUUGGUGAGAAAUGAAGGAAGAAUGAGCUUCUAUUUAUAGGAAAAUAUAGUUUCGAUAAUUGCACGUUUUGGGGCUCGAAAUAUUACAGUAUAAUACCUUCCUCUUUUUCUUCAUUUUUAAUUUAGUCCUGCAAGUAUUAUCAAACUUGCACCACCUCCCCUAAUAGUAAAUAAUGUGAAUCAAUAGUUCAAUCAUGUGAAUCAAUAGUUAUAAUCAUGUGAAAAUACGAAUUACAGUAUAGUACCUCCAUCUAUACCUCUAUUUUUAACUUAGUCAUGCAAGUAUUAUCAAUCUUGCACCAACUCCCCUAAUAGUAAAUCAUGUGAAUCAAUAGUACACACAUGUGAACACAUAGUUAUAAUCAUGUGAAUUAAUAACAAUUAAUUGCUCAUUUAUCCGGUACCCGAUUGGUCAACAUAACCUCCAGACAUCAAUUAUUAUCUAAAUAAAUGUCGAUUUCUACUAACACUAAUAAUUCCAACACAAUGAAACUAUCAAUUUCAUCUUUAAUCAACACAAACUUAUUCAUGAUUAAUAUUAUAACUCAUAAUAUUUAACAACCAGGUCGUUCCCAGGAAAGAGGGGGCUUUCCGAUAAGGAUUUCUCCCUAUUAGCGCGCAAUUAGAUUAUCUAACCUCUCCUUGACAGAACUUAUAGACAUUGUAAAUAUUGCAAUUUAAUAAUAUGAAUAACUUUGUCAUCUCAAUUAUUGAUUUAAUAAUAUAUCGUAUUAUGCAGAUGAUACUGUGAAAAUAAUUGAAUCAAUAAUAUGAAAGAUAUGAUGCGGCAAUUACUGCAGCAAUAAUUGAGUAUAACUGAGUGUCUUCUUACGUAAGCAUCAAUAAUCAAUACCGUGUGCUACUAUGCAACCACGCGUAUUACUGUACUUUUACUACCAGGUAGUUCAACAGUUUUAACGGUAACACUUUCGCUGUUAUUUUUAUAAAAAAAUAAUUCUGUCGUUUUCUAAAUACGACAAUACUUCCGUUGUGGAGUCCACCAAUGAUUGUGCCGUCGUACGGAUAUUCCCGACAAAAAGAAUAUUCCCCGACCAAACGAAUAUUUUAUAACAACUUGCAUACUUUGCAAAAUUUAUAAAUAUUACCCACAACUAUAACAUUAUAUCAAAUCCACACCAUAAUAUUCAAAAAUAUAUUUCAAAAAAAAUAUUCUUUAUUCAUAAAAGUUGGGGUCUUACAUAUAUAUUACGGAAUAACAAUCUUAAAGCAAAUUUAAUGAUUCUGUAAUUGUAGUAUUAUUUAAUCUGUUUAUUUAUGUGAACAGAAGAUCAGUUUUAAAACAAAUUUUCUAUAGAAAUAUAAUUAUGUAGAAACAGUAUUUAAACAGAAUAAAAUUACAUAGUAUUAUGUUAAUAUAAAGUAUUCUGUUAUUAUAUAUAUUACAGAAAUAUUAUAUAUAUUACAUGUUAACUGAUUUAUAUAUUCUGUUAUUAUAUAUGUUCCAUGUUAAUUGAAUGCAUUUUAAUAUUCUGUUAUUGUUUAAAUUUAUAUGAGUAGUACAGUAUUGUGUACUAUAGGAGUAAUAAAUCAAUAAAUGCAAAUUGCAAUAGCAUGUGAUUGUCAAAACUUAUCCAACUAUAGAAUGCAAAUCUAUUAAACAGAAAUUUAUAAACAGAAUUUGGAUUUCUGCUAAACAAAAUUUGUUGCUUGAAUUUUGCAAACAAAUUUUGUUGUUUGAAUUCUGUUAAAUUUUGUAAAACAGAAAAUUUUGUUUCUAUUUAUUCAUAAUUUUCUUCUUUGUAUAACAGAAAUGACAUCUACUAGUACCAUUCCUGCCGUGAGUAUGUCUCAUGGAGAAAAGACUGAAAAGUUCAAUGGAACUGAUUUCAAGCGUUGGCAACAAAAGAUGCUCUUCUAUCUCACAACAUUGAAUUUGGCAAGGUUUCUAAAAGAGGAUUGUCCUACUCUUGUUGAAGGAGAAACAGACAAAAAAAAAGUGGCUGCAGUUGAUGCAUGAAAAUAUGUAGAUUUCUUUUGUAGAAAUUAUGUGAUGAAUGGAUUAGAAAAUACACUGUAUAAUUUGUAUUGUACAAUUCAAAUUGCAAAGAAACUUUAGGAAUCUUUAGACAAGAAAUAUAAAACUGAAGAUGGUGACAUGAAAAAAUUCAUUGUUGGUAGAUUUCUUGACUAUAAAAUGGUAGAUUCUAAAGCAGUCAUCACUCAAGUUCAAGAAUUACAAGUAAUUCUACAUGAUAUUCAUUCUGAAGGAAUGUCAUUAAGUGACGCAUUCCAGGUUGCUACAAUGAUUGAGAAACUUCCACAAUCAUGGAAAGACUUCAAGAAUUAUCUUAAGCAUAAACGCAAAUAGAUGAAUCUUGAAGAACUGAUUGUGCGACUUAGGAUUGAAGAGGACAAUCGAGGAUCUGAGAAGAAGAUUGAAAAAAAUUUCAUUGAAGCAAAGGUUAAUGUGGUAGAACAAAGGUCAAAUAAUAACAACAAAAGGAAGCGUGAAGGCAAAGAUACUUUCAAGGCCAAGAAAAAAUUCAAAGACAAAUGCUUCAACUGUGGCAUUCCAGGACAUAAAUCAAAUGAAUGUUGCAAGCCAAAGAAAUUCAAGAAAGAACAAAAGACUCAAGCAAAUGUGACAGAACUGGAAAAACUUUCUGAAAAUAUUUUAGACAUUAAUAUCUCCGUAGUUGUAUCUGAGUGUAACUUAAUAGGAAACCCCAAAGAAUGGUGGGUGGACACUGGGGCUACUCGCCAUAUUUUUUCCAACAAAUGGAUGUUUUCUACCUACAAACCAGUAGAAAAUGAUGAGCAACUCUUCAUGGAAAACUCCUCAAGUUCAAAGGUUCAAGAACGUGGAAAGAUUGUACUGAAAAUGACAUCUGGCAAAGAACUGACUUUGAAUGAAGUGUUUCAUGUGCCAGAUAUCCGCAAAAAUUUAGUUUCUGGGUCACUACUUAGCAAGAAUGGCUUCAAAUUGGUGUUUGUGUCUAAUAAAUUUAUACUUACCAAAAAUGAUGUUUGUGGAAAAGGGCUAUAUGUUUGAUGAGCUCUUUAAGAUGAAUGUAAUGACUGUUGUACCAAAGUCUAUUGAUAAUAAUAAAAUUAAUUCUUCUGCUUACUUGUUAGAAUCUUCAAAUAUAUGACAUGCUAGAUUAGGACAUGUUAAUUAUAAUACAAUACGUAGAUUAAUUAAUUUAGAAUUCUUGCCUAAAUUUGAUAUUAAUCAAAAAAAUAAAUGUGAAAUUUGUGUGGAGUCAAAAAUGACAAGAUUACCUUUUCAUUCUGUUGAAAGAAAAAUUGAACCUCUAGAUUUAAUUCACACUGAUAUAUGUGACUUAAAGUUUGUGCAAACAAGAGGUGGAAAAAAAAUAUUCCGUUGCCUUUAUUGAUGAUUGCACAAGAUAUUGUUAUGUAUAUUUGCUGAGAAGCAAAGAUGAGGCUAUAGAAAUGUUUCAACUUUAUAAAAAUGAAGUUAAAAAUGAACUUAGCAAAAAGAUUAAAGCAAAAAGAAGCGAUAGAGGUGGUGAAUAUGAAUCACCAUUUGAAGAGAUAUGCUCUACUCAUGGUAUUAUUCACCAAACUGCCGCACCUUAUUCACCUCAAUCUAACGGUAUUGCUGAACGCAAGAAUCGAAAAUUGAAAGAAAUGUUGAAUGCUAUGUUAACUAGUUCUGGAGCACCCUAGAAUUUGUGGAGGGAAGCUUUGCUUUCUGCAAAUUAUAUUCUUAACAAAGUGCCUCAUAAGAAAACUCACAAAACACCUUAUAAAUUAUGGAAAGGUCAUAGACCUUGCUAUAAAUACUUAAGAGUGUGGGGGUGUGUAGCAAAAGUGAUGCUUACUAAACCUAAAAAGGUAAAGAUAGGACCAAAAAUAAUUGACUGUGAGUUCAUUGGUUAUGCAAAUAAAGUAGUGCUUAUCGUUUUCUAGUUCAUAAAUCUGAAAUUCCUGAUGUUCAUGUUAAUACUUUUGUUAAAUCAAGAGAUGCAUCGUUCUUUGAGAAUGUGUUUCCAUAUAAUAUAAAUAAAGAGUCAAAUUCAUACAAAAGACCUUUGGAUGCUACUAGUAAUAAUCCUGAAAAUAUAGACAAAAAGUCUAUAGUGGAUGAACCUAGACAUAACAAAUGGGCAAAGACUUCAAAGUCUUUUGGUCCAAAUUUUCAAAUAUUUUUGUUAGAAAACGAUCCUUAAACAUACAAGGAAGCAAUAUCCUCUCCAGAUGCUUCUCAUUGGAAAGAAACAAUUAAUAGUGAAAUUGAGUCCAUUAUGCACAAUUAUACAUGGGAAUUGGUGAAUCUUCCACCUGGUUCCAAACCCUUAGGAUAUAAAUGGAUAUUCAAAAAGAAGAUGAAAGUUGAUGGUUCAAUUGAUAAAUAUAAAGCAAGGCUUGUUUUUAAAAGCUAUAGACAAAAGGAAGGAUUGAAUUAUUUCGACACUUAUUCACUAGUUACAAGAAUUACAUCUAUUCGUAUGCUAAUAGCAAUAGCAUCAUUAAAUAGACUUGAAAUACAUCAAAUGGAUGUAAAAAAUGCAUUUUUAAAUGGUAAAUUAGAUGAAGAAAUAUAUAUAGAACAACCUGAAGGUUUCAUUGCUCCUGGACAAGAGAGGAAAGUAUGCAAACUUGUUAAAUCCUUGUAUGGAUUGAAACAAGCACCAAAACAAUGACAUGAGAAAUUUGAUAAUGUUAUAUUAACAAAUGGAUUUAAAAUCAAUGAGUGUGACAAAUGUGUUUAUGUCAAAAGCACUCAUAAGGAAUAUGUUAUUGUUUGUCUUUAUGUGGAUGAUAUGUUAAUCAUGGGUAGCAACAAUGAAGUUAUCAACUCUACCAAAUGUAUGUUGUCAAAUAAAUUUGAUAUGAAAGACUUGGGGGUUGCGAAAAUAAUAUUAGGAAUCAAGAUUUCCAGAAUAUCUGAUGAAAUUAUAUUAUCUCAAACUCAUUACAUUGAAAAAUACUUGAAAAAUUUAACAAGUAUAAUAUAAUUCUAAAUAAGAUCCCAGUUGAUAUAAAUCUUCAUUUAGCCAAAAAUAAAGGUGAUAGCAUAUCUCAACUAGAAUAUUCUCGUAUAAUAGGCAGUUUAAUGUAUGUCAUAAACUGUACUAGACCAGAUAUAUCUUAUUUGGUAAGUAAGCUAAGUCGGUAUAUGAGUAAUCCAGGUAAAGAUCACAGGAAAGCUAUUUUUAGAGUUUAGGGAUAUUUAAAACAUACUCAAAAUUAUGGACUGCACUAUACAAGAUAUCCAACAGUAUUGGAAGAAUAUAGUGAUGCUAAUUGGAUAUCUGAUAAUAAAGACUCAAAAUUCACAAGUGGAUAUGUCUUUACCCUUGGAGGUACAGCGGUAUCUUGGAAAUCCUCAAAACAAAUGUGUAUUGCAAGGUCUACAAUGGAAUCAAAAUUCAUUGCGUUAGACAAAGCUAGAGAAGAAGCAGAGUGGCUUCGCAAUUUCCUAGAGGAUAUUCCAAAUUGGUCAAGACCUGUGCCAGCUAUAUGUAUACACUGUGAUAGCCAAUCAGCAAUUGGAAGAGCACAUAGUCAUUUAUAUAACGGUAAGUCACGCCAUAUACGACGAAGACAUAAUACCGUUAGACAAUUGCUCUCAAAUGAAAUUAUCUCAAUUGACUAUGUAAAGUCAAAAGAUAAUAUUACAGAUUCGCUUACAAAAGGUUUAACAAGAGAGCAAGUGGAAAGUUCAUCGAAGGGAAUGGGUUUAAAGCCUAUUGUUUAAAUAAGAGUCGUCAUAGUGGCAACCCAACCUAGCUGACUGGAGAUCUCAAGAUCUAGGUUCAAUGGGCAAACCGAACUAUGUAGUACUGAGUAAAUCAUUGAGGAGAUAUUUACUCCUAACCAUUCCUAUUAUGAGACAGUGCACAUCUGCCGCGAGAACCAGGAUAAGUUACAUUUUUAAUGACUUUUAUAUCUUGAAAUACGUUCAAAUGGAGUAUUGCAGAAUACUUUUGAUAGAAUUUACCUACGUGAGUAAAAAGGGGGCCACUUCUAUGAGAAUUUGAAGGCUGAAUUCUCUAAUAUACUCACAGAACCAAGAGGUGUUUCAAGGCCAAAAUGAACACAAACGUGAGAACCAAUUAUAUCUGAAGAAAUAUUUUUUGAAUUCUAUUGUCUUGAUUUACACGAAAAAACUAACAGUUCAAAGACAUCAAGUCUACUGAUUAGCUUAGUAAAUCCGAUAGACUUUACUAGGGCAAGUUCAAAGCCACUAGGCUACUUAACCCGAUGAAGUAUCUUUUCUCAUGUACUCGAACUAGUAUCUGCAUAUUCAUAACAUUUAUUUAUUUUUCUCUUUUUUUCCAUGUUGUAAAGUCAAUUUUACAUUCAUGUGGGGGAUUGUUGGAAAUGAGUUUGGACAAAAUAAAUAUUUAAGCAUUUUGAGGCUUAAUUUAAUGUGGGACCCACACUUCGAAAAUGUCGGGUCUUUGCACUAAUGCGUUCUCCUUCGCGAGGAGUAUAACAUGGUAUAUUUAUGUGUUUAAAUCCAUUAAGAAUUGAAUGAGAAAAUUGACUCCAAAGUCACCUACUUGAAAUGUUAAAAAUUGUAAAAGUCCCACAUAGGGCAUUAGAGGAAAAAAUGAAGAAUUUAUAUAUAGGAUGUUUGCUCAAUGGAAAGGGCCCCAAGGGGCACCCCACUUUUGUGGAAAGCAGAUGACCUAGCCAAGGCUUAGUUCGAACCCACACGCGUGCGCCGCUGCCGUCCGGACGGGCGGAUUGGGACGUGAUAUAUAAUUUUUUGGACAAAAUCUGUUUAAAAUUAUCAUCACAAUACUACGUCGUUUUGACGAACAGUUGCACGCCAACGGUAAUAUCCCAACUGAUAAACCGCGAAAUUAUUCUAUAAAUAAUCCAUCUGGGCGCGCAUUAUAACAGAAGUUUAAUUUUCCCGUUUUGUUUUCCUUCCCUUUUCUGCAAAAUUUCCCGUUCCGCUCUCUGCCAAAGUUUAGACAAACACUGUGCAGUAAGUUUUUUCUUUAUUCCUUCCUAGUUUUUCUUCAUGCAUCAUUACUAUUCAUUCCUUCCAGUUCAGUACAUAACAUAGAAUUGCUUUCGAAGUGUUCUUAAUUUUGAAGUGCUUCUAAUUAAGAACUGGAAAUCCGUUUUAUCUUGGGAAACAAUUAUUCAAUUAAUCCUUUAGCACCAGUGAGAAAAUAAAUUUGCUUUAAGAAGACUUUAUGAAUUCAAAGGACUCGGAUUUAUCUAUUUUAUAUUUCCAAAAAAUUCUAACUUCAAUUUUCAAGAGUCUAAUAUUUUUCAUUUUAUAAUUCUAUUUUGUUUUACUUAACUUUUUGUUAUUAUAUAUAUAUAUAUAUAUAUAUAUAUAUAUAUAUAUGUGUAUAUAUAUAUAUAUUACAGAAUAACACUUGUUACUAUUAGGAUUUUUUUAUUUUCUUUGCCAUGGUCCAUGUUAUCACAUUCUAACAUGUUAUUAUUUACUUUUAGCAUAUACAAAUUCAUAUACAUACAUAUUUAAUCCAUAAAAUAUAUCUUAGGAAUUAGUUUAGGGUUUUAACUACUCUCGAAACUGUUUAAUUCAUAAUUAAUUUCUCUAGAACUCCGAUUGUGGUCCAAUUUUUGGCAGAACCUCCCCUAUAAUAUCAUUUUUCUCUACUUAGGAGUCCAGGGUCAGCCUUGCCCUCAAACUCCACCACAAACAAGCAAUUUAAAUUCUGCCAUGUUCAGAUCAGCCUACUUACGGAAUUCAUAAUUAGAAGAAUUCCCAAAUUCUCAGAAAACGUAGCUAACUUUCAUGUCUAUAACAUAUAAAAAAAUCAGAUUUUAUCUCCUUAUGGUUUAGGAGUUAUAACUUUCAUAAAAAUAGGACAGAAACUGCCUUGUUUUCUCUUUUUUAAGUUUUUCCAAGUUUGCUUGUUUUAUAUUUUUGAUUUCUCUUUCAUGAUCCAAGGUUACAUACCAUUAACAUCUUUACAUGUUAAAAGUUUCAAAGAUUUCAUAAGGAAAAAAUUUACAAAAUUUUCUAUGAAUGAAAAGUGAGUUAAUUUAGGGUUUACCUUACCUAGCUACUUUAGUUUUUCCUUUCUUCUUCUCCUCCUUGCGUCCUAACUUCAAACCUUCUCUUCUUUCUCUGUUUUGUGAGCGCUCUUCUCUCUCUCUCUUGUUUCAGCGGCGCUUGGUGAGGGGUGUGUAUGGGUUUAUUUUCAUUUUUCUUUUGGGAUAAGCUUUGAUCUCAAAAUAUCUUGGGAGGCUUAUUGGAGAAGCCUCCUCCCCCCUAUCCUUAUCGCUUGGCUGAAAUUUGUAUAGUAUCUCUAAUUCUUUCUC